rnacentral:lncRNA from 1 species
UGAACCACUGCGCUUUGUUACAGUUCGUCCAUCAGGAUACCACCUGUGACGAUGAUAUUGAGGAAAUGCCAAGAUGGCCUUUCAUAUUUGCUAAAGGUAGUGGUUUCCUGACAGGGAAGUCCUUCACACCUUGCAUUGACAACGUUCCU